rnacentral:rRNA from 1 species
GACGAACGCUGGCGGCGUGCUUAACACAUGCAAGUCGAACGGAAAGGCCCUGCUUUUGUGGGGUGCUCGAGUGGCGAACGGGUGAGUAACACGUGAGUAACCUGCCCUUGACUUUGGGAUAACUUCAGGAAACUGGGGCUAAUACCGGAUAGGAGCUCCUGCUGCAUGGUGGGGGUUGGAAAGUUUCGGCGGUUGGGGAUGGACGCGCGGCUUAUCAGCUUGUUGGUGGGGUAGUGGCUUACCAAGGCUUUGACGGGUAGCCGGCCUGAGAGGUUGACCGGCCACAUUGGGACUGAGAUACGGCCCAGACUCCUACGGGAGGCAGCAGUGGGGAAUAUUGCACAAUGGGCGGAAGCCUGAUGCAGCAACGCCGCGUGCGGGAUGACGGCCUUCGGGUUGUAAACCGCUUUCGCCUGUGACGAAGCGUGAGUGACGGUAAUGGGUAAAGAAGCACCGGCUAACUACGUG